GGUGAGAUGGCCGAGUGGUCUAAGGCGCCAGAAUCAGGUGUUAAGUCACGUAAAUCUGGUCCGAAAGGGCGCGGGUUCGAAUCCCGUUCUCAUCA